CAGGGAAAGAAAUGAUCAAACUGGUGGCCCUGGAUGGUACAUGGACUAAAGCCAAGAUCUGUCUACUCCUAGGCUAUAUAAGGUCUAUGGAAUUUCUCUGAAUUUGCUCUCUGGUUGGUUUGGGUGCUCCAGGAAGAAAGCUACCCCAGGUGGUUGGAAACAGAAAAGUUACUGCUGGGAAGACUAGAAGCCAUAGAUUUCUAGAAGUGUUCUCUCACCCCACCCCUUACAUAAGAGCAUCCAUUGAUUCAUACUGAAAGCAGCCACUACAAGGUUCAACAGGAUCAGCCAAGUGGAUCUUCUUCAGACAGCUAGAUAAUUCUCAGGAUGACAAACUGUUAGACCUGGAUGGGAGCCUAAUCAUCACCUAAUUGAACCUCUUCUUCCGCAAAGAAAAAUGAAGCUCACAGAUGUUAAGUGAUAGAUCUAAUUAAU
rnacentral:lncRNA from 1 species